rnacentral:misc_RNA from 1 species
AAGUUAUAGUCCCCUGGCCUUCUGGCUGGGGUCUUCUAUACCACCCUUUGUUUAUUACACCUUUGUUGCUUUGGCAGGCCUGCCCUCGGGCUGCUGGCUCCGGCCGGCGAGCGCCUGCCCAUUUUAUACAAACAAUAAAGUAGCAAACGUAGUCUUAUUAUAAUCUAAUA